UCGAGGAUCUUCGGCAAUGGGCGCAAGCCUGACCGAGCGACGCCGCGUGUGCGAUGAAGGCCUUCGGGUUGUAAAGCACUGUCGAGGGGGAGAAAAGCCCGCAAGGGUUUGAUCGACCCCUGGAGGAAGCACGGGCUAAGUUCGUGCCAGCAGCCGCGGUAAGACGAACCGUGCGAACGUUGUUCGGAUUCACUGGGCUUAAAGGGCGCGUAGGCGGGCGGUCAAGUCGGGGGUGAAAUCUUCCAGCUCAACUGGAAAAGUGCCUUCGAUACUGGCCGCCUCGAGGGAGGUAGGGGCAUGUGGAACUUCCGGUGGAGCGGUGAAAUGCGUAGAUAUCGGAAGGAACGCCGGUGGCGAAAGCGACGUGCUGGGCCUCUUCUGACGCUGAGGCGCGAAAGCCAGGGGAGCGAACGG
rnacentral:rRNA from 1 species